GGGCUUGUGGUUUAGUGGUAUAAUACUCCCUUAGCAUGGGAGUGGUCCGGGGUUCGGUACGUCCCCAAACUCG